CAUUGGCUUGGUCCAGAAAGGCGGGACCUCGGUCCAGAAAGGCGGGACAACUUGAAGCCAAGACAGGAAGCAGGAAAGGGGCUUCCAGGUCACAGGUAGAAACAAAUGGUUGCAUCCUUUUGAGUUUCUGAUUAGCCUCUCCAAAGGAGGCAACAAGAGAUGCGUUUAUCUCAGUGAGCAGAAGGGUGACUUUGAAUAGAGUGGGAGGCAGGUUGGCCCUGAGCAAUUCCCAGCUUGACUUUUCCCUUUAGCUUAGUGAUUUUGGAGCCCCAAGAUUUAUUUUCCUUUCACAGCAUGUGGCGGUUCUUUAUUCUCAUAAAUGAUUUCAAAACAUUAUGCACUUGGGGGAUUUUAUAAUGAAAAAUCGCGGUGUCCUAUUAAAGCACAAAGAGGCAAAGCAGAAGCAGCAGACAGGACGUCAAAGAACCAGUGCAUGGCUGCGCCGGGCCCCGGGGCUUCCCACACGGGUUACUGUCAUCCUUCCGAAUCACUGGACUUGAAGCCCAGCAUGUUGCUGAGUUUUGCUCCAGAGACAAUUGCCAUUUGUUAUUUAAGUGACAAAGGUAACGCAUGCCGGCGGGAAGCAAUGCACAAAAUGUGAAGCUCAUACAGGAAGCUUAUUGGAGCCUCACAUCUGGAAAGCACUACAGACCGCACCGCAGACCGCACGACAGACCGCACCGCAGACCGCUCUACAGACCGGCACAUGCGCAACCCUGCCCGGCUGCUCUCCCUCCCUGCCUGGCUGCUCUCCCUCCCUGCCCAGCUGCUUUCUCUCCCUGCUGUGACCAGGCCAUUUUGGUGCAUUAUCUGUGCUCAGCGCUUUCCUCCUCUAUUUGAUGACUUUUCCAGGCAGUGGGCCUGGGGGUGAAGUCCCCUUGACCUUUGGGCUCCACCCAGGCACCUGGAGCCCCUGGGCUCUUCCCCUGCAGGGAACUGUUAGCAUCC
rnacentral:lncRNA from 1 species